AACGCUAGCUACAGGCUUAACACAUGCAAGUCGAGGGGCAGCAUUGGAGUAGCAAUACUUCAGAUGGCGACCGGCGCACGGGUGAGUAACACGUAUCCAACCUGCCGCUUACUCGGGGAUAGCCUUUCGAAAGAAAGAUUAAUACCCGAUGGUAUAGAGAGUUCGCAUGUUCUCUUUAUUAAAGAAUUUCGGUAAGCGAUGGGGAUGCGUUCCAUUAGAUUGUUGGCGGGGUAACGGCCCACCAAGUCUACGAUGGAUAGGGGUUCUGAGAGGAAGGUCCCCCACAUUGGAACUGAGACACGGUCCAAACUCCUACGGGAGGCAGCAGUGAGGAAUAUUGGUCAAUGGACGAGAGUCUGAACCAGCCAAGUAGCGUGAAGGAUGACUGCCCUAUGGGUUGUAAACUUCUUUUAUAAGGGAAUAAAGUGAGGGACGUGUCCCUUUUUGUAUGUACCUUAUGAAUAAGGAUCGGCUAACUCCGUGCCAGCAGCCGCGGUAAUACGGAGGAUCCAAGCGUUAUCCGGAUUUAUUGGGUUUAAAGGGAGCGUAGGUUGACAUAUAAGUCAGCUGUGAAAGUUUACGGCUCAACCGUGAAAUUGCAGUUGAUACUGUAUGUCUUGAGUGUACAAGAGGUGGGCGGAAUUCGUGGUGUAGCGGUGAAAUGCUUAGAUAUCACGAAGAACUCCGAUUG
rnacentral:rRNA from 1 species